rnacentral:rRNA from 1 species
AGCAAAUAGAUACCCGGGUAGUCCACGCCGUAAACGAUGAAUACUCGGUGUUGGUGGAUCGAUCCCACCAGUGCCUUAGCUAAACGCGUUAAGUAUUCCGCCUGGGGAAGUACGGUCGCAAGAUUAAAACUCAAAGGAAUAGACGGGGCCCCACACAAGCGGUGGAGCAUGUUGUUUAAUUCGACACAAAACGAGGAACCUUACCAAGGCUUGACAUCCUGAGAAAUCCGCUGGAAACAGUGGAGUGCCGCAAGGAACUCAGUGACAGGCGCUGCAUGGUUGUCGUCAGCUCGUGCCUUGAGGUGUUCGGUUAGAUCCGCGAACGGAGC